UGGGGAAUUUUGGACAAUGGGCGAAAGCCUGAUCCAGCAAUGCCGCGUGUGUGAAGAAGGCCUUCGGGUUGUAAAGCACUUUUGUCCGGAAAGAAAUCCUUGGCUCUAAUACAGUCGGGGGAUGACGGUACCGGAAGAAUAAGCACCGGCUAACUACGUGCCAGCAGCCGCGGUAAUACGUAGGGUGCAAGCGUUAAUCGGAAUUACUGGGCGUAAAGCGUGCGCAGGCGGUUUGCUAAGACCGAUGUGAAAUCCCCGGGCUCAACCUGGGAACUGCAUUGGUGACUGGCAGGCUAGAGUAUGGCAGAGGGGGGUAGAAUUCCACGUGUAGCAGUGAAAUGCGUAGAGAUGUGGAGGAAUACCGAUGGCGAAGGCAGCCCCCUGGGCCAAAUACUGACGCUCAUGCACGAAAGCGUGGGGAGCAAAACAGGAUUAGAUACCCUGGUAGUCCACGCCCUAAACGAUGUCAACUAGUUGUUGGGGAUUCAUUU
rnacentral:rRNA from 1 species